GCCUGUGUAGCUCAGUGGCAGAGCGGCUGACUUGUAAUCAGUAGGUCGGGGGUUCAACUCCCUCCACAGGCU
rnacentral:tRNA from 7 species